rnacentral:miRNA from 1 species
AUUAUGAGAUCUGAGGGCC